CCUACGGGAGGCAGCAGUGAGGAAUAUUGGUCAAUGGACGAGAGUCUGAACCAGCCACGUAGCGUGAAGGAUGACUGCCCUAUGGGUUGUAAACUUCUUUUAUAAAGGAAUAAAACGAGGCACGUGUGCCUGUUUGCAUGUACUAUAUGAAUAAGGAUCGGCUAACUCAGUGCCAGCAGCAGCGGUAAUACGGAGGAUCCGAGCGUUAUCCGGAUUUAUUGGGUUUAAAGGUAGCGUAGAUGGGUUGUUAAGUCAGGUGUGAAAGUUUGCGGCUCAACCGUAAAAUUGCAAUUGAUACUGGCAGUCUUGAGUACAGUUGAGGUAGGCGGAAUUCGUGGUGUAGCGGUGAAAUGCUUAGAUAUCACGAAGAACCCCGAUUGCGAAGGCAGCUUACUAAACUGUAACUGACAUUGAUGCUCGAAAGUGUGGGGAUCAAACAGGAUUAGAUACCCUAGUAGUC
rnacentral:rRNA from 1 species